GUGCUUGCUUCAGCAGCACAUAUACUAAAAUUGGAAUGAUACAGAGAAAAUUAGAAUGGCCCCUGCAUAAGGAUGACAUACAAAUUCAUGACGUGUUCCAUAUUUUU